rnacentral:rRNA from 1 species
UUGAACGCUGGCGGAAUGCUUUACACAUGCAAGUCGAACGGCAGCACGGUGGCAACCCUGGUGGCGAGUGGCGAACGGGUGAGUAAUACAUCGGAACGUGCCCAGUCGUGGGGGAUAACGCAGCGAAAGCUGUGCUAAUACCGCAUACGAUCUACGGAUGAAAGCGGGGGAUCGCAAGACCUCGCGCGGACGGAGCGGCCGAUGGCAGAUUAGGUAGUUGGUGGGAUAAAAGCUUACCAAGCCGACGAUCUUUAGCUGGUCUGAGAGGACGACCAGCCACACUGGGACUGAGACACGGCCCAGACUCCUACGGGAGGCAGCAGUGGGGAAUUUUGGACAAUGGGCGAAAGCCUGAUCCAGCCAUGCCGCGUGCAGGAUGAAGGCCUUCGGGUUGUAAACUGCUUUUGUACGGAACGAAAAAGUCUUCUCUAAUACAGGGGGCGAAUGACGGUACCGUAAGAAUAAGCACCGGCUAACUACGU